UAGGGCUCCGCGUGCUGCGAAAAACGCAGCCGGUUUGUAUUCGUUUGCUUUAGGCUGUGAGGGUGGAACGAGGAUAGUUUUAAGGGAUGUCUGGAAACUGAGAUCGUUUAGGAAGCCGCGGCAUAAGGAUGAGUAGUAUUAUUUUUUACUCCCUCAGAAUGUCUUUGGUUGGAACAUUUCCAUAAAGUAAAUAAAUUAAAGGUUCAGAAAAAGUCGAUAGGAAGUGUUUUUUUGUAACCGGAGUUGUCCCCAAACUUCCCUUUGUGGGCGGCAGGCGCUGUAUUGUGGUAGUUGCCAGCAAAGCACUGAGCGGACCCUAUGCUGCUGCUAAUGCAGAAUUCGAAGACUCAUCUGCUAAUGAAAUAAAAUAUGUGGCUGAAGUGAACUGCGUUGAAGUUGACAAAACAAACUAAUUUUAAGGAACACUGCAUAAGGGAUUGAACCAUGUCAAGUAGCUUAAUGUACUGCUGAGUAAGGACCUUUAAGAAUUAUGCCAUAUUGUCUGCAAACUGGAGUCAAGUGAAACCACUAGAGGCCUUGGGGACAUAAAUCCUACUAAGAGGCUUAAGAAACUGAAAGAACAGAGGAACACAGAGAGCUCACUGUUUAGUUGGCUUCUGAGGAGCCAUUUUAUGCUCAGAAUGAAUCUUUCAUAGGGAAGCAUGCACUCAGCAGCCAGCACUGCUUAUGUUUGCUCACCUUCCACAGGGAGACGUUCCAGGAAUCAGGGCAUCAACAUAAAACAGAGGAUCUCCCAGUGGGAAGGCAGGACUGCUGGGGCGAGUAAUGUGGAAAAUCAGCAACUUAAA